UUUUUUGGCAAGGAAUAGUCUCAACAUCUUUUUUAAUAUUGUGGCAAUCAAAACUGGAUACAAUAUUUCAAGUGUGGCCUUACCAAGACAUUAUUAGGUGGCAUUAACACUUCGUGUGAUCAUGAUUCUAUCCCUCUGUUAAUGCAGCCUAGGAAUGCAUUGGGUUUU